GAUGAACGCUGGCGGCGUGCCUAACACAUGCAAGUCGAGCGAUUCUCUUCGGAGAAGAGCGGCGGACGGGUGAGUAACGCGUGGGUAACCUGCCCUGUACACACGGAUAACAUACCGAAAGGUAUGCUAAUACGAGAUAAUAUGCUUCUAUCGCAUGGUAGAAGUAUCAAAAGCUCCGGCGGUACAGGAUGGACCCGCGUCUGAUUAGCUAGUUGGUAAGGUAGCGGCUUACCAAGGCGACGAUCAGUAGCCGACCUGAGAGGGUGAUCGGCCACAUUGGAACUGAGACACGGUCCAAACUCCUACGGGAGGCAGCAGUGGGGAAUAUUGCACAAUGGGCGAAAGCCUGAUGCAGCAACGCCGCGUGAGCGAUGAAGGCCUCGGUCGUAAAG
rnacentral:rRNA from 1 species